GGCAAGCAAUCGCGUCACAAGGAGGUUCUGAUGGGGACGGGGAAGCCUUAAAGCAAAGGCCGUGUGCCAUUGCUUUUCCCCUGAGCCCACCAUGUGCUUCAAACUUCUCUGCUGUGUGGCCCUUUUUUUCUGGGGAGCAGGCUCCAUGGACACCCAGGUCACCCAGAGUCCUAGAUACCUGGUCAGAGGGAAGAAACAGACAGCAAAGAUGAAUUGUAUCCCUGUAAAAGGACACAGUUAUGUUUAUUGGUAUCGACAAAAGCUGGAAGAGUUCAAGUUUUUGGUUUACUUACAGAAUGAAAAUAUUCUUGAUAAGAUAGAGAAGUUUGAAGAUCAGUUUUUGGCUCAAUGCCCCAAAAACUCACCCUGCAGCCUGGAAAUCAAGUCCACUGAGCCAGGGGAUUCAGCCCUGUAUUUCUGUGCGAGCAACGAAUCCACAGUGCUGAAUGUCAGCUUUUCUUAG